GCAUAACGCGAAGAACCUUACCAAGGCUUGACUUCCUGCGAAGGUUUCCGAAAGGAAAUUGUGCCUUUUAGGAGCGCAGUGACAGGUGCUGCAUGGCCGUCGUCAGCUCGUGUCGUGAGAUGUACGGCUAAGUCCAUUAACGAGCGCAACCCUUAUGAUUAGUUGGAUUUUUCUAAUCAGACUGCCCUGGCAACAGGGAGGAAGGAGGGGAUGAUGUCAGGUCAGUAUUGCCCUUACGUCUUGGGCGACAAACACGCUACAAUGGCCGGUACAAAGGGCAGCCAACUCGCGAGAGGGAGCAAACCCCAUCAAAGCUGGUCUUAGUUCGGAUUGCAGGCUGAAACUCGCCUGCAUGAAGUCGGAAUCGCUAGUAACGGUGGGUCAGCUAUACUACCGUGAAUACGUUCCCGGGUCUUGUACACACCG
rnacentral:rRNA from 1 species